rnacentral:rRNA from 1 species
AUUACCUAGAGUUUGUAGACUUCGGUCUGCUACCUCUUACCCAUGUCUUUUGAGUACCUUCGUUUCCUCGGCGGGUCCGCCCGCCGAUUGGACAACAUUCAAACCCUUUGCAGUUGCAAUCAGCGUCUGAAAAAACAUAAUAGUUACAACUUUCAACAACGGAUCUCUUGGUUCUGGCAUCGAUGAAGAACGCAGCGAAAUGCGAUAAGUAGUGUGAAUUGCAGAAUUCAGUGAAUCAUCGAAUCUUUGAACGCACAUUGCGCCCCUUGGUAUUCCAUGGGGCAUGCCUGUUCGAGCGUCAUUUGUACCUUCAAGCUCUGCUUGGUGUUGGGUGUUUUGUCUCGCCUCUGCGUGUAGACUCGCCUUAAAACAAUUGGCAGCCGGCGUAUUGAUUUCGGAGCGCAGUACAUCUCGCGCUUUGCACUCAUAACGGCGACGUCCAAAAGUACAUUUUUACACUCUUGACCUCGGAUCAGGUAGGGAUACCCGCUGAACUUAAGCAUAUCAAUAA